rnacentral:rRNA from 1 species
GACGUAGGGCGCGAGCGUUGUCCGGAUUUAUUGGGCGUAAAGAGCUCGCAGGCGGUGUGUCGCGUCGGCCGUGAAAACCUGCAGCUUAACUGUGGGCUUGCGGUCGAUACGGGCAUCACUGGAGUUCGGCAGGGGAGACUGGAAUUCCUGGUGUAGCGGUGAAAUGCGCAGAUAUCAGGAGGAACACCGGUGGCGAAGGCGGGUCUCUGGGCCGAUACUGACGCUGAGGAGCGAAAGCGUGGGGAGCGAACAGG